rnacentral:ncRNA from 1 species
GUUUCAGGGCGGGGUGAGAUUCCCCACCGGCGGUGACUGGCUGUUCAUACCAUCCAGGAGCCCGCGACCCGCUGCGGCGGUUGACCCGGUGAGAUUCCGGGGCCGACGGUUACAGUCCGGACGGAAGAAA